rnacentral:rRNA from 1 species
UACGUAGGGGGCAAGCGUUGUCCGGAUUUAUUGGGCGUAAAGAGCUCGUAGGCGGUUUGUCGCGUCGAAUGUGAAAACCCGGGGCUCAACCCCGGGCCUGCAUUCGAUACGGGCAGACUAGAGUUCGGUAGGGGAGUCUGGAAUUCCUGGUGUAGCGGUGAAAUGCGUAGAUAUCGAGAGGAACACCUGCGGCGAAGGCGGGUUGCUGGGCCGACACUGACGCUGAGGCGCGAAAGCCAGGGGAGCGAACGGG